UCUUCUCCGCCGGCGACCGGCGCGACGGGUGAGUAACACGUAUGCAACCUGCCCCUGUCAGGGGGACAACCCGCCGAAAGGCGGGCUAAACCCGCGUACAUGCCACCGGGGCAUCCCGGAGGCAGGAAAGGCUUCGGCCGGACAGGGAUGGGCAUGCGGCGCAUUAGGCAGUAGGCGGGGUAACGGCCCACCUAACCGACGAUGCGUAGGGGUUCUGAGAGGAAGGUCCCCCACACUGGUACUGAGACACGGACCAGACUCCUACGGGAGGCAGCAG
rnacentral:rRNA from 1 species